rnacentral:lncRNA from 1 species
CACUGGGUGAGUCCCUUCCCCUUGCCAGGCCUCAGUUUCCCAGUCUGUAAAACAAGGGGGUUGGAGGGGCUGACUCUAGAGCUGACUCUGACCUUUUCUCUCCAGGCAUAGGUGAACGGUGUGACCACACCAGGCCAGGGAAGAAACACGUGCCCAGCCUGCCAUCUGCCCUCCUGUCUUGGAGCCAGGUCUUUCCACCAGCUUCCUUCAUCUUUUAACACUUGGUGAAAAGGAAUGACACGUCAGUCAAAGCCACUGGCCGGUGCUCAUGGAGCAUCUGGCAGGAGGAAGCCCCUUCCUGGCUGGCCUCCCAUUCAUCAGUCAGCGCCGCAGGCUGGGCCAGGAAACAACCAAAAUGUUCUUCAAUAGGUGAAUGGUGAAAUAAAUGGCGGAACAUGUAUACUACAGAAAACUGCUCGGCAAUGAAAAGGAAUGAAUUAUUGAUACAUGCAAUAGUUUGAACUGAUCUCAAAGUCAUUAUGUUAAAUGAGAAAAAAAAAAGCCAAGUUCAAAAGGUGACAUACUGUAUGAUUCCAUUUAUAUAACUCUCUUGAAAUGACAAAAUUAUAGUGUUGGAAAACAGGUUAGUGGUUGCCAGAGGUGAGGGAUAGUUGGAGAGAGGGGGAUGGGUGUGACUAUAAAGAGGUAGCACAAGAAAGAUUUUUAUGGUGAUGAAAUAAUUCUGCAUAUUGACUGUGAGGUGCUUACAAAUAUACACAUAUGAUAAGAUGACAUAGAACUAUACACACACAUUGUACCAGUGUCAAAUUCAUAGUUUUAAUAUUAUACUAUAACCAUCUAAAAUGUAACCACGGGGGGAAACUGAG